rnacentral:rRNA from 1 species
AGUGAACGCUGGCGGUAGGCCUAACACAUGCAAGUCGAACGGCAGCACAGGAGAGCUUGCUCUCUGGGUGGCGAGUGGCGGACGGGUGAGGAAUACAUCGGAAUCUACCUUUUCGUGGGGGAUAACGUAGGGAAACUUACGCUAAUACCGCAUACGACCUUCGGGUGAAAGCAGGGGACCUUCGGGCCUUGCGCGGAUAGAUGAGCCGAUGUCGGAUUAGCUAGUUGGCGGGGUGAAGGCCCACCAAGGCGACGAUCCGUAGCUGGUCUGAGAGGAUGAUCAGCCACACUGGAACUGGGACACGGUCCAGACUCCUACGGGAGGCAGCAGUGGGGAAUAUUGGACAAUGGGCGCAAGCCUGAUCCAGCCAUACCGCGUGGGUGAAGAAGGCCUUCGGGUUGUAAAGCCCUUUUGUUGGGAAAGAAAAGCAACCAGUUAAUACCUGGUUGUUCUGACGGUACCCAAAGAAUAAGCACCGGCUAACUUCGUGCCAGCCGCCGCAGUAAAAC